rnacentral:rRNA from 1 species
UGGGGAAUAUUGGACAAUGGGGGGAACCCUGAUCCAGCAAUGCCGCGUGUGUGACGAAGGCCUUAGGGUUGUAAAACUCUUUCGUCGGGGACGAUAAUGACGGUACCCGAAGAAGAAGCUCCGGCUAACUUCGUGCCAGCAGCCGCGGUAAUACGAAGGGAGCUAGCGUUGUUCGGAAUCACUGGGCGUAAAGCGCACGUAGGCGGAUAGUUAAGUCAGGGGUGAAAUCCUGGGGCUCAACCCCAGAACUGCCUUUGAUACUGGCUGUCUCGAGGUCGAGAGAGGUUGGUGGAAUUCCUAGUGUAGAGGUGAAAUUCGUAGAUAUUCGCAGGAACACCAGUGGCGAAGGCGACUUGCUGGACUUAUGGUGACGCUGAGACGCGAAAGCGUGGGGAGCAAACAGGAUUAGAUACCCAGGUAGUCCCUGAGCGGGCUGGCAAGGCGCAU